GUUAGGAUGCUUUCUCCCUAAAUUUUAAAAAAAUUACAAACAGGGGGCCAAGUGGCAAUCUACUGUAAAUAAACCCGAAAAUAAAGCCCAUUUACAAACCACCGCCAACUACGGGCGGGUUUUGUCAAUUACCAACGUUGAUAGCGGAAGUAGGUAACCUACAUACGUGGUAAUUUCCUAUUCGUCUGUCUCCCUUAUAAAUAACCCUCUCACCGCCUCUACUCUUUCUCUCUCCUCAAAAAAAAUCUUAUACAGAGCUAUAUAGCCUUCUAAAGGAAGAGUUGUUAGAUUAGAUUAGAUUAGCUCAAAAUAGGCAUAGCCUCAGGAAAACAAAAUCAACAAAAAAAGGGAAAACAAAAAAUUCAACAAAAUAAAUAGAUUUUAGAUUCUCUCCCUCCUUUUUUUUCUUGUUCACACAAAUUAUCUUAGAGAGAGAGAGAAAACGAGUUUUUUUUAGAGAGAGAAAGAGAUUUUUCUAGUGAGAGAAAGAGUUUAUUUAGAGAGAGAAGGAGAUUUUUCUAGAGAGAUAAAGCUUGCGUUGGUUGCGGUGGUCUCUGAUUCGCUUGGUGCAGGUCGGGAACUGGUUAUCGUUUUUUUUUUCUGAUUACUUCCGCCGCCAUUGGAGCAGCAGCAGUAAUCUUCGGAGAGAUAAUUAUUUUUUUUCUUAUUUUUUUUAUUUUUUUGGAAUUUUUUUUUGGAAAAUAUCUCUCUUCUGCUCAGUCGGUGGAUUACCGGAUCCCGCCUUGCAUCAACUGAAUCGGAGGCUGCGGUGAACUGCCUUCAUUUCAUCAGAUCGGCGGAUUUUAUUGUUUUCUGUUUUGUUCUUCAGCUGUUAAUUUAUUGAUUUCGUUAUUUUUUUAUCAUCGAUAUUAUUAUGGAAGAUUUAUGAAUUGAAAUCGUGUUUAAUCUGAUUAUGCUCGUACGAUCUUGGAAAAAGAUGUAUUAGAUUGGAAGAAUCAGUUGAGAUUUAGGAUUUGUUGUUGAAGGAAAGAGAUAUUUCACAUAUUUGUUAUUACUUCAUGAAUAUUGAGAUUUGGAUUUGUUUUUGUGAUAUUUGAAUUACUAUGAUGAAUAUGUGAGUUUUAGUUUUUUCUGGAAAAAAAUUAUUGAGUUGGUGUUGUUGUUUGCGGUGAUGUAUUUGGCUGAUUUCGAGUAGUUUUCAUAUGUUGUUGGAUUAUGGUCCGUCAUUGUGAUUAAAAUCUACUCAUUUGUUGCGUUGAGUUUAAUGCAUUGUACUUCCGUUUGUUUUGCUUUGGAACUUGUUUGAUUAAUUUAGUACAAGAUGUUUGAUUUGUUUGAUCACUUGAUUUUUCGUAAUUUGGAGUAAUAAUCUAAUAAAAUGUUGUUAUUGUGUGAACUUUUGGAUAAUUGGUAUUUUGAUCUUGAAUUCGGAUGGUUGACGUUGAACAGGUGAAGGUAUGGUGAAACUUUUAAAUGGUUUAAAUUGUCAAGUAAUUCAUAUAUGGAAUGAGUGUUUGCAGAUUUUAUUGGUUGCUAGGUUGAAUUGAGAUUCCAGUGAACUAAUCGAAUAUCUGUCGUGCUUUGAAGAGUAAAAGUGUUUAUUCUUUGGGCUUAAUAAUUUCAGUUUGCAUGCUUUGUUGAAUUGCCUGAUGCUUCAUUUUCAAAUAGUAGUAGUUGUGCAGUUAUACUAGCUAAUCAAUGAUGUAAUUACUGUGAAUUUUCGCUUACUGCCUCUUGCUUGGUAUAAUUUGCUUGCAAUUGGGACGAGAGGUAAUCUAACCCUGUGGAUCCAAUGUGAAAGGAUAGCAAUUGAGGAGCGGGUUCUUGAUGCAUUGAUGUUGAACCAAAUUGUCUGUAUAGGCCUGUGGUAAGUUCUAAUAGUAUUUGUUUUCAACCGGUAUUCGCAUGAGAGUGACUUCAAACUUAUCGAAGUAGACUUAAAAUAUAAUUUUUAUGUGAAAGUUUUGUGCAUUUAUUAAAUAUUGUUCUGUGUACUGAUUUGAGAUGGAUACAUAUGUUUAUCAUAUGAUGAAUUUGCAGCACUACUGAAUUCUGUAUUUAGGUGGUUGCUAUGUCCAAUGAGACUAAAAGGAUAUUUGAUUAUGCUGUUCAUGUGUUGAUAUUUCUCAGUAUGUUGCUUUGAUGUAGACAUGUUAUGUAAUUUUUUUGCAACUACUAUAUUGUGAUGUCUGGUAACUUUUGGCUUGCUUGAAAAUAGAGUUAUUGUCAGAUAAAUAGUUAUUUCUUCCCCAAUAGUGUGAUAUCAAGACAGUGGCUGUUAAAUAAAUAUACUGUGGUUCGGCGGUCAAUAUCAUUUGUAUAGUGUGAUUUGCUAGAUGUUUUGGGCAUGCAUAUUUGAAGAAUGAGUUUGAACUUUUGCCAUCUUUGAGAAAAAAAUAUAGGCAAAAGAUAUGCUCUUGAGUGAUCUUCACAGGGAAAUGGAUGACGACGAGACGUACACUGUCAGUAGAUACUGGGCUCACUCCCACUGGCUCACAGCUUCUUGGUUUCAAGCCCAGAUAGGUGGCUGCCUCCCACUGUUGGUGUAACAAAAUUAAAUGCCGAUGCCUCGCUUGGUGAUGAUGCGUGGGUAGGGCUGGGCGAGUGGGUGUUGACCGGGACCGCAUGGUAGUGCGCAAUCACUUAGGUGAGCCUUUGAGGUCCUUUUUGCAGCAAGAAAACUGGUGAGAGCUUAUGGCCUCCUGAAAUAGCAGAACGUAAAGUCAUUACUAUGGCUGCUGGUUUAGCAAUGCAGAACAUCAUACUUGAAUGAAUCCAACUCCUAAAGACUCACACUCAUCAUUCAUCUCUGAAAAGCUUCAUUCUUCUUCUCUGGUCUUGAACUCUUGAUUCCAUUCUAGAGAAUGUGUUAGAAGUAAGUCUUUCGAGUCUGUUGCUUGUGUUCAUGUUAGAAGAAAUGGGACUUUGUGGCCCAUUUUCUCGCUAAGAUACUGCCAUUUGGUGUACAACAAUGCUGGGAAAGUCAUUGUCUGGCAGAGGUUUCUACUUAUGUAUUGUCUGUCCAUUGAUUAAUGCACUAGUUUUUGCCAGAUUUUAUCUCCUUCCAGUCGUGGGCUUUUGUGUUUGGUUUGGAUUUAGGUAACAUUGCUGCACUGCAUAGUCUUUGCAAAUCUGAUGUUUGCAGAUUUUUUGCCGUUACACAUAAAUGGGGAUGAGUCAAGAUACUUAGAAAUGAAAGCUUGUGCGUCCUAUUGUGCUUCAUGUAUUCCUCUUCUCUGUUUUGGCUAAAAAAUUUGUCCAUGGGGUGUAUAUUAAAUAUUUAUGGCGAAUGCCCAUAGUUAGCACUUAGCAGUUAGCUAUCGAAGUUGCAUAUAUUUGGUUGAUUAACCUAGGCAGGAUGACCUGUUCUAUAGGUGUUAUUUGUGUAAUUAGUGAGCUACGACUUCAUGUUCAAUUCAAAGAUUACAUGAACUUCAAAAAGAAAAGAUUAAUGGGGAGGAGUUCAAUAUCUUACCUUUUGACUUCUGUUGGCUGGCUUCCCGAGGCCGUGAAAAGGAUGUUUGUCCUAUUGGAUAGAAGUUGAGAAGAAGUUUGCUAUUAAAUAAAGCAUAAUGAAUUCGUUUACUUUGGCUUCUUACCAUAGAUUCUGGUAAACUUACCCUAUAUUCGAGCUUUAUUUUCUUGCAUUCUUAUGGCCUGCUUUGAGCAGGCUGACUUUAGUGCGCCAUGUAGCUCGUUGGAUGGCUAUGGAGAUCAGGCCAUGAAUUCUGAAGUCUGCUUUUUUGAAAUCUUAGUAACCACAACUAGCUGCUCUGGGCAGGCUACCAAUUUUUUUCUUGCACUCUUAUGACUGGAACAGGUAUAAACUGCUCCAAGCACGCUAACAAGUUUGCAACUAACAAAUUGGAUGUCUAUGAGGCUGUGGAGUACCUUGGUUGAUUGCACAAUAAAAGAUGGAUGAAGGGUUAUUUCUCGGACUGCACCUCAGGGAUAUUCAAGGAUGGAAGUCUGUCUUGCUGUUGCACUCUUUGGUGAAGUGCUUGCUGCACCAUGUUGAUGACAGAAGUUAUCUGCAGAUUUUGAAUUGGCGGUGGUUCAAUAUUUCAAUGUCUACGGUUGUGGACUGACCAGUUUGAAAGAUGGAACUAUGACCAUCCUUACAAUUGGUAACCAGACGUGGCCCUAAAUUCUGGAAUCUGGAGAUUUGCUCUGAUUUCUGCUGGAGGCGCGUUUAUUCAACGGUCUAAACUCAGGCAUGCAUUUACUUACACACUUAGGUGAAUUGGCAUACGGGAACAUCUUGGUUGGCUAUUUUUCGUUUUCUUGACAAUGAGCUUGUUCAUUUUAUCCAAGAAAUACUGAUUUUACUUGUAAAAACUUUUUGAUAUAAUCUCUCUACCUUUGACUUGUUAGGUUGAGCAAUUUGAUAUCGCUUAAGGGAGGUUUUGAGUUCGAGCCUUACCAUAUGUAGUAUAGGAACUCUUGUUAGGAGACUUAUCCACCAAAACCAGGUGUGCGACUUGGGUCGGACUCGAAUGUAGUUGGAGCUAAGCUCCGGUGAAUCGGGUGGGCAACCAAAUUUUUUUUGACCUCCCUUGGCUUCAUAUUGGCGGGACUGAUACUGAGUGUUAUUAUUGAUGGUGUCCUAGUUAUCAAUAUUACGGACCUUCAUGAUCUGAACUCUGAGGAAUGCUUGAUCUGUCCAGAACUUGCUCUUCUCUCUGUUUUCUGUUAUCCUGAAUCCUGAUUGUCUUUUAGUCAUCUACCAUGUCAGAAGUUGCGUACCAGAAAACCUCGUAACUUGUGGACAUUACGCCAACGCAUCAUAAGAUCUGAUGUCAGAAAUGCCAAGAACUUUCAUUAAUAAAUGACAUUAGUUGCAUACUGUGAAAAUUUGGAUCUACUUGAACAAGAUAGCCAAUAAUUGUAAGGCAUAUGGCAGGGGAAGAACAGGAAAGCUUAAAUUAUUUCUGUCCGUUGCUUUAUGUGUGUUUGAGUUUUAACUCAAAUGAUAAUUCGUCCAUACUUUUCCAUUGCCCGUGUAUCAUGUUUACCAAUACAUAAUUUUAGCUAUUAAUAUCAGUAAUUAACUUUAGUAAAAAUUUAAAAAAGUCGAUAUAUUUAAAGUAUAUAUCGAGAUGAAGCUAAUGAAUUUCACAUGAUUGUAUUUUUUUCGUUGCGUAAAAAUCACUAUUGAUGAUGAAAGGAUAGUGUGAAUAGUAUAAAUAUCCAUAUGUUAGUAUUCGGAAGUAUAAUACUAACAUAUUUUUACGAACACGGAGCGAGGUGUGACCUGCACCUAGCUUGUUGCAGGUGAACGUGAACCUUUCAUGCCUGUGACUUCCGCCUAAUGAAUUUGUGAUCCAUUAGUGAUUAGAUAUCUUUGUAUUUAAAGUCCAAGUCAGUUUGGUAUCAACUAUUGCUACUGUGACUUACUGGUAUACGUCAGUAGUUCACUACUCAAGUUGCUGGUUCAGAGUGAUGACUAUAGAGGAGUUGAAACUUAGCUCUAUAAUUGCAUCAUGCAAUGUAAUAUGUUCUCAUUUACUAGACAGAAGAUUGCAUCAUGCAUAAAUAGAUGCGUAACUACUUUUAGGAACGUUAAAUCAAUUUAGAUAUAGAUGAUGUAUUUGACUAAUAGAGAAAAUGUGUUUCUUAUUCAAGGAAUUUAUGGACUAGGGAAAGAUUAAAUACCAAAUAAAUUGAUAUGGAAGAUUCGAAACUAUUUUUUGGUGCCGUUUUGACAAAAUGAAGAUGUUUAUAUUUAGUGUAUAUCUAAAAUCAUUCGAUAUAGAUUAUGGAAGAAGGAUGUUCAUUUUUCAUUGAUUUAACACUGCUAAAUAAGCUUUCUUUUGUUUUCAUGUUCUUGGCAAUUGGCACAAUGGCAUUUACAGAUUUAUGAAACAUGUAGCUGAACAUGCAUUUAUCCAGUGCAAAGAUGGCAUUAAAUACCUCAAUAAAGCUCCUCCUUGCUUAUGAGAAGUAUAUGAUAUGGCUGGUGAUUUGCUGUUCAUUUAGAUUGUGUACGUGGUCAAGGCGAUGCACGUUUUUCAUAGUUGGGAUUUCUGUUUUUCGGGUUCACAAAUCGGCGAAGUCUUCGAGGGCUCACUUUAUUUAGCUCUCUGUCUAGCUUGACAUUGAUCUUUAUGAUCCUUGCCUUGACAAAUUCAAAUUUGAAGGCGGCACACCAGUUGCAUCUGGUGGUUUUCAGCAUGCCCACUCAUAAGUUUUUCCUUUCUAACAGAGAAACCUGAAGUGAGAGUAUUUGAAUCACAAAGGAAUAUGACUCUUCACAAGACCAUAAACCCACAAUCCCAAAAUAUAGCGGGUUGUUGGAUUGCUCAUAUGGCGAGAUGCAAUGCUCAUCGUUGGUUGUUCGUUGUUCAAAUCGUAAACGACACUCGCUUCUUUACCAUUCGCCAUUAAAGUUUUGCCUCCACCAUCACCGGCAUUAACCAACGAUGCCCUCCGUCACAUACAACUUUCUAUCGUUCUUGAUUGUUUUUAUUUUCUAUGGAUUCUAAGAGCUCCUAAAGUUCACUUAGGUUCGUUGGUUUGUUUAGAUUUAGUUGUACUUCCUUUUUUAAUUAAUGUACGAUUUCUCGUUAUAUAUAAAAAAAAAGUUUACUGGUGUGACAUCAA